UGGGGAAUAUUGCACAAUGGGCGCAAGCCUGAUGCAGCCAUGCCGCGUGUGUGAAGAAGGCCUUCGGGUUGGAAAGCACUUUCAGCGGGGAGGAAGGCGAUAAGGUUAAUAACCUUGUCGAUUGACGUUACCCGCAGAAGAAGCACCGGCUAACUCCGUGCCAGCAGCCGCGGGAAUACGGAGGGUGCAAGCGUUAAUCGGAAUUACUGGGCGUAAAGCGCACGCAGGCGGUCUUUCAAGUCGGAUGUGAAAUCCCCGGGCUCAACCUGGGAACUUCAUCUGAUACUGGCAAGCUUGAGUCUCGUAGAGGGAGGUAGAAUUCCAGGUGUAGCGGUGAAAUGCGUAGAGAUCUGGAGGAAUACCGGUAGCGAAGGCGGCCCCCUGGACGAAGACUGACGCUCAGGUGCGAAAGCGUGGGGAGCAAACAGG
rnacentral:rRNA from 1 species